UUCUGCAGCUUGUUGACUUCGAUGAAUGAUUUCAUGUUCUCAAAUUAGUCUAUAUUCCCCUCUUUCACCCGCUGCUCCCACAUCUCCAGUUUUCUUGUGAAUGAUGUGAUUUUAUCUGCCAGUUGUGAAAGGUGUGUGCUGCUGCCCUGUAUCUGAAGAUUUAGUUAAUUGAGUUUCUGAAACAUGUCACUGAGGUUUGCAAGUUUCAUGAGGAAGUUGUUACACCUGUAGGCAAGUUCAUUACCCUCUACCCCCAAGAAUAUUCUGAUCUCAUCCCGCAGUUCAAACACCCUGGAUAAAACCUUCCCACGUGACAGCCAUCGGGACUGGCUGUGAAACAAAACAGCUGUGUAGGCGGAUCCCAUUUCCUCGCACAGCGCGGGGUAAAUACGGGAUUUGACGGGUCUUGUUUUAAUGGAGUUUACGGCAGCAAUGAUGUCUGUCAUUACAUUAUUCAGCUCGGGACUCAGCAGUUUGGACGCUAGCGUCCCUCGGAGUAGGCCUAUCAUACAGUGUGUCCAAUGCACAUUUGGGGAGACGUGCUUGAUUAGCGCUUGCAGCCCUCCUCGUUUCCCAGCCAUUGCCUGAGCCCCAUCUGUGCAGAUCCCCACACAGUCCUCCCAUUUCAGAUCAGCUUCUGUCAAAUUUAAUGUGAUCACUUUAAUCACUGAAGGUGUUUUGUAAUCCUAACCCCUGAGUGUGUGGGAACAACAUCCAUUCAUCACACAGUGGCCUGUACGCCUGAUCAAGGGGAAAGGAGAUUCAGAGGGUACUGAGGACUCCAGGCCCCCUCGGAGCCCAGCUGUAUCCAGAGAUAAGGCCUCAGACUGGGGCACGUGCAGCACCAGCGGCCCCUGGAUCCCCUAGCACCACGCGGAGCUGGGUCCUCCCAGUCUGCCAAGAGGGACUAUGUGCGUCAGAGAGAGAGAGAGAGAGUGUACCUAGUGAAUCUAUGGAGGUGAAUAAUGGAUUCUAGUCCUCUGAGAGCUAGAACGCCUCUGGGAGGAGCGUUUUUUUCUAAAGGCUUCAUAAAGUCUUCUGAUGCUUUCAGUCCCCUACAGACACACUGACACAGAGUAACGCGCAGUUACUGACUUUAUAGGCCCACGCCUUCUGUCUAUUUGUUUGUUGUUGUUUUGUCUUUUGUAUUGUCUUGUAUAUGGACCUAUAUGAGUUUGAAAUAAAGAUAAAGAAUCUAUCUAAUUGUCUGUAUGUC